rnacentral:rRNA from 1 species
AUUGAACGCUGGCGGCGUGCCUAACACAUGCAAGUCGAGCGGUAACAGGUGUAGCAAUACAUGCUGACGAGCGGCGGACGGGUGAGUAACGCUUGGGAAUCUGCCUAUUAGUGGGGGACAACCCGGGGAAACUCGGGCUAAUACCGCAUACGCACUACGGUGGAAAGCCGGGGACCGCAAGGCCUGGCGCUAACAGAUGAGCCCAAGUCGGAUUAGCUAGUUGGUAGGUAACGGCCACCAAGGCGACGAUCCGUAACUGGUCUGAGAGGACGACCAGUCACACCGGAACUGAGACACGGUCCGGACUCCUACGGGAGGCAGCAGUGGGGAAUAUUGGACAAUGGGCGAAAGCCUGAUCCAGCGACGCCGCGUGGGUGAAGAAGGCCUGCGGGUUGUAAAGCCCUUUCAGUGGGAAGAAAAGCCUCGAGCUAACACCUCGGGUCUUGACGUAACCCAUAGAAGAAGCACCGGCUAACU